rnacentral:rRNA from 1 species
AUUGAACGCUGGCGGCAGGCCUAACACAUGCAAGUCGAACGAGUGGCGGACGGGUGAGUAAUGUCGGGGAAACUGCCCGAUGGAGGGGGAUAACUACUGGAAACGAUAGCUAAUACCGCAUUCCAUACGAUGUGCGCAGAUGGGAUUAGCUUGUAGGUGAGUUAACGACUCACCUAGGGGACGAUCGCUAGCUGGUGUGAGAGGAUGAACAGCCACCCUGGAAAGUAGACACGCUCCAGACUCCUACGGGAGGCAGCAGUGGGGAAUAUUGCACAAGUGGCGCAAGCCUGAUGCAGCGAUGCCGCGUGUAUGAAGAAGGUCUUCGGGUUGUAAAGUCCUGUCGGGGGGGAGGCGUUACCCGAAGAGGAAGCACCGGCUAACUACGUGCCAGCAGCCGCGGUAAUUC